AUACAGAGUAUUGCAGCAAAAUGCGAACAGACUAUAUGUAUGAAGACAUAUAGCCGAGAGUAAAUUUCUUGAUUAAGUUUAAAAUAAACCUCAACAUCUUGAUGUUACCGCAAGGAAUAUAAUUACGGUAUAAUGAAGAUCAUCCGAAACAAAAUCCCUGCCAGCACCAGUCCAAUCUCCCUCCUCGCUUAUCCUGCACGUUUAGAAAUACAUGCAGGGCUGAGUACAGAAUACUCAGUGGACAUAUGCCGAAAAUCAAUGAAAACUAGCUCUUAGAGCUAUAGAUUGAACUUGCCACAUAAGCAAUACACGGGGAUUUUACUCAAAAGAACCCGUGUAAGCAGUUAACAAUCAUAAACAUCAUAAAUAAAUGACCGGUCAAAAUUCUCGUUAUGUAUGUACCACAUCUACAAAUCAUCAUCAUUUAAGGUACUGAGAAGUAGGCCUCCUUCUCAAGUACCGUGACCGGCCGACCCGAAGGACAGCUCACGGUCACCUCUGUGUACACAAUCCCGCUUGUGGCAGGACCCGAAUUCGUCUCAUCAGUAGAGGGUGACAUACAGGCUCGUCGUCAUCAAAACUUGGCAAGUCAAUUAGUUCAACAUCAAUAAAUCUCAAAAUAUUUAUCAGACUCAUAAACAUCAUCAACAGUAAUAAUUUUCAUCAAACUGAAAUUGACAGUUAAAUCACAUCAUUUAUUUCAUUUCGUAUAAGAGGCCUACGAUACGCAGGGGAUCUCUAUAUACGUAUAGUAAAAAUAAUGCCCACCUGAUGUCCUAGCUUACUCUCGUAGCGUUCGGGGUGGACUCACUUCCGUCCUCUGCUCGCAUCUUCAGAUAUCAUAACAUCGAAUAUAGUUCAUGGGGUAAAACAAAAGGAAUCGGUCAGAAACUUCCUUACUAAGAAUAUCAUUCUAUCUUAGUAAUAUUACAUUACUUCUCAUUUCUACACUCCGUCUCACUCGAUCUCAUAUCGUAAACACUUUCUAAGUAAUCACUACUUUAUUCUUGACUUAUCUCCUAAUGUAGGUCUAAACUCUGUCAAGGAACAACUCAUAGAUAAACAAUCCAUAAGCACAUAGCAAUCACAUAAACAAACUCAUUUUUGAAAAAUAAAAUAUUUUUAGUCGGGGAAAUUUCCCAAAAAUCUAUUUUAUAAAUCAUUCUUAAACCAAUUAUUCAAAAAUUAACUCACAUAAACAAGUUAUGCCAUUUUAUUACAUUUUUCAUGUAUAAGCUCAAUUCAUCUUCACUAAGCCACAUAUAGACAUCUUUAAUUCAUAUCUCAUCUAAUAAUCAAAAUCUUAUUCAAUUCACUCUUUCUGCACUGCCUUAACUUAAGAGAAUAAACUGUUUCUCCUUGGAACUCUCCUGGGUUAGAGACUCAUACUAUUGGAAACCUCUUUGAGUCUAGUUUUAUUUAAAAAAAAGUAGGUUGAAAAACUCCAAGUGGUUUAAGAGAUAUGACCGUUCUCCCACAGUCUACCAUAUUCGGCAGUUUCGUGCAACUGGAAGUUUCGAAUUUUGAAAAAUAGUAAACAUUUCCGAAAUGACUUGAAAUUUUAUGGGUAGCUAGAUAACACAUUAAUAUUUUACCAUAAAAAUUUGGAAAGCAAAAACUCAGGGUAAGCUACUGAAAAUGGUGACUCUAAGGUCUGUUCUUCUAAACUUUCGGUAGAAAGUUGCAGUUGGGGUUUUGCAUUUUAAAAGGGUAGUAAAUGAAGUCCAAAUGACUUGAAAUUUUACAUGGACGCUCAUAACACUCUGAUAUACGCACCAUAAAAUUUUCAAGAUUUUUAGGAAUCAAGAACCCUGUCGAAAUUCAUCAAGUCAGUAGCUUUUUAAAGGUUUUCAAAAUAACUCAUCAACUUGCCAACUUUAAGCAUAUAGCCAACUAUACCCUAUUUUUCAUCAAACUAACUCACUUCAAUAUUCAUCAAACACCUUUAAUCAUCAUUCUAAUCCAUCAAAUAUCAUCUCAAUAAUCUCAAUAGCUCAUAUUCAUAACCAAAUCAACAAUCCAUCCAUGAACUUCAAACUUCUCAAAAUCAUGUAAACUAACCCAUCUAAAAAAUUCACAUAUCGAUUUAAAUCCAUCCUUUGCAUGUAGAAAUGGACUAAAUAGGAUCUCAAUAGCAUGAAUAUAUUCUCAAUAUAAGAUAAGAAGAUGAAAAAAACAAUUUGAAGGCUUCCAACCCUAAAGUUUUCGAAAAUUACAAACUUGAAUUAGAAGUUGUUUUCAUGCUAUAAUCAUCCAUAUUCAUGCUUAUAUAUCUCAAAUAUGAUUAGAUUUAGAUAAAUCUAACACUUACUCAAUGAUUUUUGAGUAGAAAAUGAAAAUCUCCUCUUGACUUCAAGCUUUAAAAACCUUCCAUAGUUGCUCUUGAUUUGAAGUGUAUAGAUGUUUAGAGCUUGUUUUAAUGGAAGCUUAUGGUAUAGAAAUGAUCUAUGAAGCUUUGUAUAUGAUCAUCAAUGGAGGAUGAUGAAGAAAAUUGGGAGAGAAGAGAGAGAGGGAGGGGACGGUUCUAUGGGUGAGAAAUGAGGGAAUGAAU
rnacentral:lncRNA from 1 species